CAAGUCUGGUGCCAGCAGCCGCGGUAAUUCCAGCUCCAAUAGCGUAUAUUAAAGUUGUUGCAGUUAAAAAGCUCGUAGUUGAAUUUCGGAAUCUGUCCGUUGGUCGGGCUUCAUUGUCCGUACUGGUGUGAUGGGUUCUUACCUUCUGAAUAACCAGCAUGCCAUUCAUUUGGUGCGUUGGGGAAGCAGGACUAUUACCUUGAAAAAAUUAGAGUGCUCAAAGCAGGCUAGUGCCUGAAUACAUUAGCAUGGAAUAAUAAAAUAGGACGGCAUGGUUCUAUUUUGUUGGUUUCUAGGAUCACCGUAAUGAUUAAUAGGGAUAGUUGGGGGCAUUAGUAUUCAAUUGUCAGAGGUGAAAUUCUUGGAUUUAUUGAAGACUAACUUCUGCGAAAGCAUUUGCCAAGGAUGUUUUCAUUAAUCAAGAACGAAAGUUAGGGGAUCGAAGACGAUCAGAUACCGUCGUAGUCUUAACCAUAAACUAUGCCGACUAGGGAUCGGA
rnacentral:rRNA from 1 species